CCUACGGGUGGCAGCAGUCGGGAAUUUUGGGCAAUGGGCGAAAGCCUGACCCAGCAACGCCGCGUGAAGGAUGAAAUCUUUCGGGAUGUAAACUUCGGAAGAAUAGGAGUCGGUACUAUUUUUAAGGUCCGGCUAACUACGUGCCAGCAGCCGCGGUAAUACGUAGGGACCAAGCGUUGUUCGGAUUUACUGGGCGUAAAGGGCGCGUAGGCGGCGUAAUAAGUCACUUGUGAAAUCUCCGGGCUUAACUCGGAGCGGCCAAGUGAUACUGUUAGGCUAGAGUGCAGAAAGGGCAAUCGGAAUUCUUGGUGUAGCGGUGAAAUGCGUAGAUAUCAAGAGGAACACCUGAGGCGAAGGCGGGUUGCUAGGCUGAACUGACGCUGAGGCGCGAAAGCCAGGGUAGCAAACGGGAUUAGAUACCCCUGUAGUC
rnacentral:rRNA from 1 species